CAUCCACCACCAGAUAUCUAUUCAUCCACCACCAGAUAUCUAUUCAUCCACCACCAGAUAUCUAUUCAUCCACCACCAGACACCAUGGAGACCAUCCACCACCAGAUAUCUAUUCAUCCACCACCAGAUAUCUAUUCAUCCACCACCAGAUAUCUAUCCAUCCACCACCAGAUAUCUAUUCAUCCACCACCAGAUAUCUAUCCAUCCACCACCAGAUAUCUAUUCAUCCACCACCAGAUAUCUAUUCAUCCACCACCAGAUAUCUAUUCAUCCACCACCAGAUAUCUAUUCAUCCACCACCAGAUAUCUAUUCAUCCACCACCAGAUAUCUAUUCAUCCACCACCAGACAUCAUGGAGACCAUCCACCACCAGAUAUCUAUUCAUCCACCACUGCUAUUUAUUUUCUGCUUCUUUUUUUUUUUUUUCACCUGAUCAACCAGCUGAGCUUCAUAAAGAUGGUUUUAUAAAGAUAUGGUUUAAUAUGUGAGAGCUAUGAUUAGGUUUUAUAAAGAUAUGGUUUAGUAUGUGAGAACUAUGAUUAGGUUUGAUAUUAUGCAUUCAGCUCUGUUCCUAAAAUAAUGGUACUACAUUUUCCUCAAGGUUAAUAUUGUGUCACAAAUGGCACCUAUUUUCCUAUAUAACCACUUAAAGCUGUUUCCCUCUAUAACCACUUAAAGCAGUUUUCAUAUAUAACCACUUAAAGCAGUGCACUAUGUAGAGAAUAGGGUGCCAAUUGGGACGUAACACCAAUGGAGUUGAGGGUUUGAGUGUGGAAUGGCCACAGGUCUCUUCUAUGCUGCUGUCUGCUAUUUUACAUAGAGAUAGAUAUGUAUAUUUAUGUGUUGUUGUAAAUGAUAGUAUACCAUUAUUGACAGACAUAGAGGUAGCAGUAGUGAUACUUGUAUUGAUUUAUGGGAAAUCAUUGAUGACUAGGGAUUUAUAGUUACAAUGUUGGAGCGCACAGGGAAAUGCAAUCAUUUAACCUCUGACCUCUGUAAGGCAUUAUCCUGACUAUCUCAUCAGGUCUUCUGCUUCAGGUUUCUCUUAUGUUUUCGUGGCGAUCAAACCUCUUCAGUCUGAUCUGAUCAUGGACUUCAAGAAAUUAAGGAAAUAUCUUAUGUUCUCCUUGUCUAGUUCUUUUUAAUUAAACACGGCAUGUCACAUCAUAGGCUUGAUAUGUAAUGAUGAUGAUGAUGAUAUGAUUAUUAACCCUUAACUACUAAAUACCUUUUUUAUGUUUCACAAUUUGUUUUAGGAUUCCAAUGAUUUUUCUUGGUUUAUUUAUUUUGUGAUAAUUCUUCUGUAUUAAAUCAGUUUUAAACCUGACUUUUCCAUCUGGAUGAAUAUGAUAUGGUAUAAGAUAUAUACACUGCGGCCAGUUUAUUAGGUACACCCAUCUAGUACAGGGUCGGACUCCCCUUAGCCACCAGAAAAGCCUGAAUUCUUCGGGGCAUGGAUUCUACAAGGUGUGGCUUUCAAAUGUUGCUCAAUCGGUAUCAAGGGACAUAACGUGUGCCAGGAAAACAUUCCUCACACCAAUACACCACCAGCCUUGACACCAGGUAGGAUGGGUCCAUGGACUGACUCUGACUCCUGACUCUGCAGGAUUUGGCGGAUUUGGCGGAUUCUGCAGGAUUUGUUCCCUGGGCCUGAUAGCCCAGGGAACACUCAAAGGGCAAGAGACCCUUGGCAGAGCAAAGAAGAGUGUUGCGGGCAUAUUCGACCUACACUAGUUGCUGGCUCCAGGUGGUUGGGUUGGCGGAGAUCAGGCAGCAAAAAGUUUCCAAGUCUUGGUUGGCUCACGCCAUCUGGCCGUUGGACUAGGGGUGGAACCCGGAGGACAGGCUGGACAACGACCGAAUGACUGUGCAGAACACCUUCCAGAACCGGGACCAGAACUGAGGAUCCCGGUCGGAGACCAUGUCUACUGAGAGUCCAUGGAUCCGGAAGACGAACUGCUCCAUGAGCUUGGCCGUCUCUUUGGCAGAGGGUAGCUUGAGGAGAGGAAUGAAGUGAGCGGCUUUGGAAAACCGAUCCUGUCAGGAUGGCGGUGUUGACAUCAAAUGGGGGGAGAACCAUGACAAAGUCCAGGGUUUUGUGAUACCAGGGACGGUGAAGGACAAGCAGAGGUUGAAGGACAUCAGUCGGAGUUUGUCAAGGAGUUUGUUCUGCACACAGACGAACACGGAGACGUCAAGAAUCAUGGUAGGCCACCAAAAGCAUUGUCGCACAAAGGCCAGGGUCCGACAAGAGCUCGGGUGGCAGGCAAGCCUGGAGGAGUGGGCCCACUCCAGGACCAAGGAGCGGACCGCGUCAGGAACAAACAUCCGGUCAUCUGGGCUCCCCCUUGGGUUCGGCUGGGAACGCUGCACCUCACAAACCUGCUUUCCUAUCCCCCAGCUGAGUGCCAUCGCCAGGCACGAGGUGGGAAGGAUGGUCUUAGGUUUCGGUGUUGUAGUCGUGGGGCUAUAGCGGCGCAACAGCACAUCCGGCUUGACAUUCUAGGAUCCCGGUCGAUAUGGGAGAGAGAAGCUGAAACGGGUGAAAGGACCCAUCUAGCUUGCCUGGAAUUGAAACGCUUGGCAGUGUGGAGACGUUCCAGGUUCUUGUGGUCGGUCCACACAAUGAACAGAUGUUCUGCCCCCCUCCAGCCAGUGCCUCCACUCCUCCAAUACCAUCUUCACUGCGAAAAGCUCACUAUUCCCCACAUCGUAGUUCCUCUCCGUGGCAUUGAGGCGAUGGGAGAAGAAGACUCAGGGAUGUAACUUGAGGUCCAGGGCAGAAAGCUGGGACAGGACAGCCACCACUCCGCACCCUGGACGUAGGCUGGGGCCAAUCCACCACCACUCUCACCUUCCUGGGAUCCAUCUGUACACUGCCUGCAGCGAUGAUUUAACCCAGGAAGGGGAUGGUGGAGCGAUGGAAUUCGCACAUCUUUUCACAAAAAGCUGGUUCUCCAGGAGGCGUUGAAGAACCUGUCGGACGUGGAGAAUUUGUUCUUGGGCGGAGCGGGAGAAGACAAGGAUGUUGUCGAGGUAGACGAAGACGAACCGGUUCAACAUGUCGUGGAGAACAUCAUUAACCAGAGCCUAGAACACAGCAGGGGCGUUGGUAAGCCCAAAUUGCAUGACCUGAUACUCGUAGUGACCGCUGGCUGUGUUGAAGACAGUCUUCCACUCAUCCCUUUCCCGUAUCCACACCAGGUGGAAGGCGUUCCAUAGGUCCAGCUUGGAGAACACGGUGGCCCCCUGAAGUGAUUCGAAGGCCGAGGAGAUGAAUUGUAGCGGGUAGCGGUUCUUCACGUGAUGUCAUUGAGACCCUGGUAGUCGAUGCACGGGUGCAGGGUUUUGUCCUUCUCCAUAAAGAAGAACGGGGGAGGCAGAAGGACAGAUGAACUCUGCAGCUAAGGAGUCCUCAAUGUAGGUCUCCAUAGCCUUCGUCUCUGGACCCGAUCGAGAGUACAGUCGUACCUGGGGCGGAGUGGUGCCUGGGGGAAGGUCAAUCCCGCAGUCAUAGGGUCGGUGCGGCGGAAGCGAAGUGGCCAGGGCCUUACUGAACACCUCCCGGAGGUCCUGGUACUCCGCGGGAAUGGUGGAGAGGUCCGGGUCAACUUCCGAGCCCCCAGGAAGACCUCCCGGGGUAGGCUGCGCUGACUUGAGGCACUGAGCGUGGCAGAAUGGGCUUCAACCAAUGAUGGUACCAGCAGGGGAUUGUGUUGCUGGGAGCCAAGAGAAUCCCAAUACCACGGAACCCGAGGAGACUUAAUGAGUAGGUAUUGGAUCGCCUCGCUGUGGUUCCCUGACACUCGUAGAUUAAUGGUGGCGGUAUUGUGGGUGACCCGGCCCGACUUCUGGGAUGCCUCGGAAGCGAGGUGGAAUCCUUGGGCGAUGAGCGUCAGUAGUUCCCGGGCUGCAAGCUCGUCCUUAACUUCCGUCCGAUACUCGGUGCAGGAACAUGUCGAACAACGCUUUUGGGUUCCAGGCACUCUCAGCUGCCAACCAGCUGGCAACAGACAAACAGAGAACACAGGUAUAAAUACACUGGGUAUAAUUGGGAGGAUGGGCGACACCUGGAGGGGGGUGGAGAUAAGCACAAAGACAGGUGAAACAGAUCAAGGUGUGACAGAUUAAUGUAUAUGUGACAAAUAUUAAAAGGCAUAUAUGAUAUUGUAUAAGGUAUGAUAUGGUAAAAGGUAUAUAUGGUAUAAGGUAUAUAUGAUAUUGUAUAAGGUAUGAUAUGGUAAAAGGUAUAUAUGGUAUAAGGUAGAUAUGGUAUAAGGUAUAUAUGGUAUAAGGUAGAUAUGGUAAAAGGUAUAUAUGAUAUAAGGUAUAUAUGGUAAAAGGUAUAUAUGGUAUAAGGUAGAUAUGGUAUAAGGUAUAUAUGGUAUAAGGUAGAUAUGGUAAAAGGUAUAUAUGAUAUUGUAUAAGACAUGUAAGAUAUGGUAUAAGCUGUAUAUGAUAUGGUAUAAAGUAUAUAUGGUGUAUGAUAUGGUAUAAGUUAUAUAUGGUAUAAAGUAUAUAUGGUGUAUGAUAUGGUAUAAGUUAUAUAUGGUAUAAAGUAGAUAUGGUAUAAGGCAUGAUUAUGGUAUAAGUUAUAUAAGGUAUAACGUACGAUAUCCUAUAAGCUAUUGCGAGGCUGUGGAUCAUUAAGCCAGGGAGUGCUUGGAGAUAAAGGAGGAAGCAGCCUGCACAAAGGGGCAGAGUAAGAAGAGAAAAACGUGCUUUAUGAAGAGUGGGAUAAGAGAGAACAAUAUCUGAGACCCGGACUGUCGUAUUACACCCCUUGUGUACCGAACCGGAUUGGCUGAGGACACGAGUUUUAGGAUUACCCCUGGAGAAUGGAACGGACAACGAGAACGGCUUGCGGACUGUGAAGUAACUGGUGAAUUCCCCUCUCUUCCCCAGUGUACCAAAUUCCCAAAUAAACUCCCCAUUUGCAUUCUAGUUGUGCUACUGGUGCAUGUGUUGUUAUUGAACUUGGUGACAUGGAAAUCCCACACCCUUGAGCCUUCUAUACUAUAUAUGAUGGGC
rnacentral:lncRNA from 1 species